AGGACGGUAUUUGUGACAAUAUG
rnacentral:miRNA from 1 species